CAGCAGCCGCGGGAACACGUAGGGUGCGAGCGUUAAUCGGAAUUACUGGGCGUAAAGCGUGCGCAGGCGGUUAUAUAAGACAGAUGUGAAAUCCCCGGGCCCAACCUGGGACCUGCAUUUGUGAUUGUAUAGCUAGAGUACGGUAGAGGGGGAUGGAAUUCCGCGUGUAGCAGUGAAAUGCGUAGAUAUGCGGAGGAACACCGAUGGCGAAGGCAAUCCCCUGGACCUGUAUUGACGCUCAUGCACGAAAGCGUGGGGAGCAAACAGGAUUAGAUACCCCCGUAGUCCCUGUCUCUUAUAC
rnacentral:rRNA from 1 species